UACGUAGGGGGCAAGCGUUGUUCGGAAUUACUGGGCGUAAAGCGCGCGUAGGCGGACUGGCAAGUCAGAUGUGAAAGCCCCGGGCUCAACUUGGGAGGGUCACGCGAUACUGUUCGACUCGAAGGCAGGAGAGGGUAGUGGAAUUCCCGGUGUAGUGGUGAAAUGCGUAGAUAUCGGGAGGAACACCAGUGGCGAAGGCGACUUACUGGACACAUAUUGACGCUGAGGUGCGAAAGCGUGGGGAGCAAACAGG
rnacentral:rRNA from 1 species